GAGGCUGCAGCAUUUAAUCAACACAGCCAUGGACUGGGAGAUCUGGAUUACAUUCCUGUCUCUGCAGUGGACACUGGAAACGUACUCCCCUGUGCUCUACGUGUCUCCACCUGCAAGGAAAAACAAUGGAGUGGAGGUUGUCUUCUGGUCAGAUUUUGACAGGAAUGCAUGGCUUGACAUGCACUGGAGAAACAGUCUAUAAACAAACAUGUCAGAGAGGAAACACAGCAUCUGCAACUCUGUGUCACAGGACAAGAUGGUGAUCACUUUGCAUCUGUACAAGAUGGAUCCUCCCCUCUACCCCAAGAUUCAGUAGCUACAAAAAAUGUAGAGAUAACUAUGAAAUUCUUAACAGAAAUUCAUUUUCUACAGUACAAAUACUAACUAGAGUUUCAUAACUGAAGCUACUUACAGCCUUUUGAAGAUAGGCAGGGGAAUACCUUUAUAAUAAUGUCCUCAAUUUCACUAAUCCCAUCAUAAAGCAUCAGUUAAGCCUGCACUAAACAAUCACAGUAAACCUCUAAAUCCUGGGAAGCUUGCCCACUUCUGAAUACAAGAGAGCUUAAUGAAGUCUUAGUUCAUGACAAGCCCUAAAAGACAAUGUAAAAUAAAUAAAAUUCCCUCUAAUUAAUUUCA
rnacentral:lncRNA from 1 species